rnacentral:lncRNA from 1 species
GUGUGUUUUUAUAUCAAGCACAUGGUGUGUGUUUACGUUCAAUUUGAUUGGAUGGCAUAUACCCGUAUGCCGGUUUUUACGGGUAUAUGCCCUCAUGAUUUUCGUGAAAAGCAUGAUUAAGUAUUACUUAAGGGGUUAGUUUGAGAAAAUUAAGUUAUUCGAAGUUUGCCUAUAGUUCAACGUAGCAGCAUUCGUUAUUAUGUUUACCCACCCACCCACCCUUUUAUGAGAUGGUUAUCGUUAAUGGGAGUAUAUGCAUAUAUAUUACAUUAUAUUAAUAUGAAUUUUUCCUCUUUUGUAGAUAGUUUUUGAUUGUGUAACUGUAUAUUACUGUGCUAUUGUAUGAUUGGA